ensembl:snRNA U4 U4 spliceosomal RNA
AGCUUCUCGUAGUGCCUGUAUCAUAGCCAAUGAGGUUUUUCUGAGGCGCAAUUAUUGCUAAUUGAAAACUUUUCCCAAUACCUCGCCAUGAGGACUUGAAAUAAAACCAGGUCCUGGUGGAGGGAAGUUGGCACUGGUG